UUUUUUUUUUAAGCAUUUUAUUAUGUUUAAUAUAAAAUAUAUGAUGGUGUAUUAUGUUGUAUUUUACCUGCAGGUCGUAAUGAGCGACGGAAGAUCAACAUGUUUGGCGAACACUGCUGAUUCGAAAGGCCAAAGAAAAGAUAACAGGAAUUUGAUCAAGGAAAACAUUGAGCGUUUCUCUGGAGCGCGUUAUGUUUACGUUAAGGAUAGGUCUCAAUUAAACUCUCUCAAUACUAGC